rnacentral:rRNA from 1 species
AGAGUUUGAUCCUGGCUCAGAACGAACGUAGCGGCGCGCUUAACACAUGCAAGUCGUGCGAGAAAGGGGCAACCCCGGUAAAGCGGCGCACGGGUGAGUAACACGUAGGUAAUCUGCCUCCAGGUGGUGGAUAACCUUCUGAAAGGAGGGCUAAUACAGCAUGAGACCACGGUUCCGCAAGGGACAGGGGUCAAAGCCGG